CUCUAGCUUGCUAGAGUGGAUUAGUGGCGCACGGGUGAGGAAUAUAUAGCUAAUGUGCCCCAUAGAGGGGGAUAACAGUUGGAAACGACUGCUAAUACCCCAUACUCCUUCUUCUCAUAAGGGAAGUCGGGAAAGUUUUUUCGCUAUGGGAUCGGGCUAUACGGUAUCAGCUUGUUGGUGAGGUAACGGCUCACCAAGGCUAUGACGCCUAUCUGGUCUGAGAGGAUGAUCAGACACACUGGAACUGAGACACGGUCCAGACUCCUACGGGAGGCAGCAGUGGGGAAUAUUACACAAUGGAGGCAACUCUGAUGUAGCAACGCCGCGUGGAGGAUGACACAUUUCGGUGCGUAAACUCCUUUUAUAUAGGAAGAUAAUGACGGUACUAUAUGAAUAAGCACCGGCUAACUCCGUGCCAGCAGCCGCGGUAAUACGGAGGGUGCAAGCGUUACUCGGAAUCACUGGGCGUAAAGCGCGCGCAGGCGGCCCCUUAAGUUGGAUGUGAAAUCCUAUGGCUCAACCAUAGAACUGCAUCCAAAACUGAGGGGCUAGAGUCUGGGAGGGGAAGAUGGAAUUAGUGGUGUAGGGGUAAAAUCCGUAGAGAUCACUAGGAAUACCAAAAGCGAAGGCGAUCUUCUGGAACAGUACUGACGCUGAGGCGCGAAAGCGUGGGGAGCAAACAGGAUUAGAUACCCUGGUAGUCCACGCCCUAAACUAUGAAUGUUAGUCGUCGGGAGGCUCGUCCUCUCGGUGAUGCAGCUAACGCAUUAAACAUUCCGCCUGGGGAGUACGGUCGCAAGAUUAAAACUCAAAGGAAUAGACGGGGACCCGCACAAGUGGUGGAGCAUGUGGUUUAAUUCGAAGAUACGCGAAGAACCUUACCUGGCCUUGACAUUGAUAGAAUCUGCUAGAGAUAGCGGAGUGCCCUUCGGGGAGCUUGAAAACAGGUGCUGCACGGCUGUCGUCAGCUCGUGUCGUGAGAUGUUGGGUUAAGUCCCGCAACGAGCGCAACCCUCGUCACUAGUUACUAACGGUUCGGCCGAGGACUCUAGUGAGACUGCCUU
rnacentral:rRNA from 1 species